rnacentral:rRNA from 1 species
GGAAUUUUCCGCAAUGGGCGAAAGCCUGACGGAGCAACGCCGCGUGAGGGAUGAAGGCCUCUGGGCUGUAAACCUCUUUUAUCAAGGAAGAAGAUCUGACGGUACUUGAUGAAUAAGCCACGGCUAAUUCCGUGCCAGCAGCCGCGGUAAUACGGAGGAUGCAAGCGUUAUCCGGAAUCAUUGGGCGUAAAGCGUCCGCAGGUGGUUCAUCAAGUCUGCCGUUAAAGACAGAAGCUUAACUUCUGAGAGGCGGUGGAAACUGGUGAACUAGAGUACGGUAGGGGUUGAGGGAAUUCCCAGUAUAGCGGUGAAAUGCGUAGAUAUUGGGAAGAACACCAGUGGCGAAGGCGCUCGACUGGGCCGUAACUGACACUCAGGGACGAAAGCUAGGGUAGCGAAAGGGAUUAGAUACCCCAGUAGUC